GCCGGGUGUGGUGGUUCACGCCUGUAAUCCAGUGGCUCAGAAGGCUGAGGCAGGAGGAUCGCCAGUUCAAAGCCAGCCUCAGCAACUUAGAGAGACCCUCUCUCUA
rnacentral:sRNA from 1 species